UUGCAGAUGGCGGACUACAGGCCCCAGGGGGCGCCGCGGGGCGGCGGCCAUGUCCGUGCCCGUGCCCGUGCCCGUGCCGGUGCCGGCCAUGUCGGCGGCGGCCGCCCCCGAGUACGAGGUGGGGGAGCUGCACAGCCGUGCCUUCAGUGUCGGCGCUCUGGGCCGCGCCUGGCGGCAGCAGCUGGGGCCCCCCGACCUCUCUCUGGCGGCGAAGGAGGAGGAGGAGAAAGAUGAGGAGGAGGAGGACAUGGCCGUGGCGGAGGAGCUGGGCUGCGGCUUGGAGACGGCGGCCGAGCUGCGGGCAGUCUGCAGUGUUGAUAUGUUAAUGUCUUCCGAUAAAGACAAGGACGCGGAAGUUAUUCCUGAAGAUAGCAGUUUGCUAACUCUUCGAAUUAGAAAGAAGGUACUAGAGAGGAGAGAAGAAAGAAUCAUUGUGGAUCGGGCUUGCAGGCAAGAAACUCUUGCCUAUGAGAUGGAGUCACAUGCAAUUGGAAAGAGGCCAGACAAUCCAGCAGAUCUAGUAGAAGAGGGAGAACUGAUUUUAACUCUGAACAUUUUCUAUCCUGUCAUAUUUCAGAAGCACAAAGAUCACAAACCCUAUCAGACAGUCCUUGUACUGGGCAGCCAGAAGCUUACUGAACUGAGAGACUCCAUUUCCUGCGUCAGUGACCUCCAGAUAGGUGGAGAGUUCAGCAGUCAGCCAGAUCAAGCACCAGAGCACAUCAGCAAGGAUCUCUACAAAUCUGCUUUCUUUUAUUUCGAAGGCAUCUUUUAUAACGAUAAAAGAUAUCCAGAGUGCAGAGAUCUGAGCAGAACAGUCAUUGAGUGGUCAGAAGCCCAUGACAGAGGCUAUGGAAAUCUUCAGUCAGUUAAAAUGGAGGACUACACAUUUAAUGAUUUGUCCCUCAAAAUUGGCUUUCCAUACCUUUUCUGCCACCAAGGGAACUGUGAGCACAUCGUUAUCGUCACGGAUAUAAGGCUUAUUCAUCAUGAUGAUUGCCUGGACAGGAGCCUCUAUCCCUUGUUAAUCAAGAAACACUGGUUAUGUACCAGAAAAUGCUUUGUAUGCAAAAUGUAUACAGCCAGUUAUAGGAAAAACUUGAGGCCUGGCCCAAGGACAAUGGAGGGACAAUGUUAACAAUGAAGAAGUUUUAUAUUACAAUAAACAACUCACAGGUCACUCUCGGAAAUACAAGGUGUUUUCACCAACUUGGGUCUCCCUCUUGGUUUUGGACUCUUCACUUCAGAAGCUAGUUUUUAUACGGAAAUAACAGCUAUUCAUCAUUCAUCUUCAGAAAAAUAGAACUAUCUUGGUACAAGGAAAUAAAAGAAUGAUUUACAAGAAUCCUUAAUAUCACCGUAACAGCAUGUCAAAACCAAGUUUUAAGCAGGUAAGUUCAUUUUUUGCCCAUACAGAAAUAUUCUUAGAUGCCAUCAUCUUCCCUAGCAGUAUCACAGCAUCUGAUCAGUAGAUGGAGCUACUCAGAAAAACACCUGCUCUGUAGCUAAUUAUCCACAAUGGAAAAAUUGAUGAGCUGCACUAACCAGACAUAAUAAACUUCAUCCAUACAGUCAUCUUAGAGGGGCUGGGUUGUAAAGAGAGAGAGAAUCUAUGAAAAAGAAAAAUGAUAUGCAUCUCCCCACAGAAACAUUCCAUAAAAAGAACAUAGAAAAAUGUUUGAGAAAAUAUUCACAGAAUUUAGUGUAGUGGAUACAGAAGCAUCAGCUUGCAGAAACAGAAAAGUUAGUUACAAACACAUUUAUCUUCAUAUUGUCUUUAGAAACAAGUAAUAACGAGCUAUUUAGAAAGAAUGAGACAUACUUAAAUCAAGGCUGAAGCAGAGGUACAUCUCACAUAGACAGAUUGUUUAAGUAAGACAGAAAAACAACUGAUUUUUUUUAAAACAAUUCCAAGAUGAGAGAACACCUUGUUUCUUUCAAAGGCAUAUAAGGAAUGCAUUCAAAGCCAUGUAACUGCAUAGACAACACUUAUCUGAUCUGUGAACAUUCACCACAUCCCUUGGAAUAACUAUUCAAGCUCAGGAGCAAUGCAUCCCAACAAAGAGGAAGUCAGGCAAAAAUGCCAGGUGGCCCUCCUGGCCCAACUCCAGCAGAAAAAGGAAGCCUACAGAGGGAGGAAGCAAGGACAGAUGACCUAAGAGAAAUGUAGAGAUGCUGUCUGAGCAGUCAAGGAUCAAGUUAGGAAACCUAAAGCCCAAAUGGAAUUGUUUCUGGCCAGAUACAACAAGAAGGGCUUUUUUAAGUACUCAGUGACAAAAGGAAGAUUAGGGAAAACAUAGCCCCUUUGCUGAAGGAAACAAAAGGCCUGGUUACUCAGGACAACAGAAAGGCCCAUGUGCCAAAGAGCACAGUCUUUCCCAGCAGGGCUGGCCUUCAGAAAUCCCAGAUUCCAGAGGACAGGCUGUAAGACUGGAGCAAGGAAGAUGUACCUCUGGUGGAAAAGAAGCAGGUCAUGGAAUACUUCAGCAAACUAGACGUUCACCAGUACACGGUGAAUCCUGAUGGGAUACACCCAUGAGUGCUGAGGGAGCU